rnacentral:rRNA from 1 species
AGUGAACACUGGCGGUAGGCCUAACACAUGCAAGUCGAACGGCAGCACAGUAAGAGCUUGCUCUUACGGGUGGCGAGUGGCGGACGGGUGAGGAAUACAUCGGAAUCUACUUUUUCGUGGGGGAUAACGUAGGGAAACUUACGCUAAUACCGCAUACGACCUACGGGUGAAAGCAGUGGAUCUUCGGACCUUGCGCGAUUGAAUGAGCCGAUGUCGGAUUAGCUAGUUGGCGGGGUAAAGGCCCACCAAGGGGACGAUCCGUAGCUGGUGUGAGAGGAUGAUAGGCCACACUGGAACUGAGACACGGACCAGACUCCUACGGGAGGCAGCAGUGGGGAAUAUGGGACAAUGGGGGCAAGCCUGAUCCAGCCAUACCGAGUGGGUGACGAAGGCCUUCCGGUUGUAAAGCCCUUUUGUUGGGAAAGAAAAGCAGCAGGUUAAUACCACGCUGUUCUGACGGUACCCAAAGAAUAAGCACCGGCUAACUUCGUG